UCAGGAGGAGGAAGAGGAGGAGAUCACCAGCCCCUGCCAGGAGGUACUGAAGACUUUGAAGGCCAAAGUGGCAAAAAUGCAGAAGGAGCACCACCAGGAUAUGCAGGCCAUUCAGGAGCGGAGGAAUGCCAUGGAGGAGAGGCACUGACAGGCCAUGAAAGGGACAAAAUGACUCUUAAAGUCCAUCCCAACCAGGUCUUGUCACCCCAGAGAAGCUAUGCCAUACUGCCAUAUUGUCGGCUCAACUUUGCCAUUGCCAACCAUGAAUUUCGCAUGAUAUACUAUUGCCUUAUUGCUUGUGGACUCCAGCUCAUUCAUGUAGUUUUGUCUUAUACUUUGUCUUGUCUUGUUUUCUCUUCCGUUCUCCUAUUUUGCCGCCCAAUGUUGUACUUAAACUGUACUCAACUACGUGUAGCUCUAUUAUCAUACUAUUGCAUGUAACUCUACUAUAGAUGACACCUAUAUAAUAUGACGUUAUACUUACCUGUCAUCCUCUGUGCUCCUAAGCAAUACGAGAGCUAACUAUUUUUGACAUACUUGUAUUAUAUACCAUGAACAAUGAUGUAAUAUAUCCUAUCUUAUUAUAUAUAAUGUCUCCUGACAUAUUACAUUGUAUUUUACUCCAGGCCGUGAUCAAGGUCCCAUACAAG